rnacentral:misc_RNA from 1 species
CGAUCUUGUGUAAGCACGCGACGAACCGGACUAUCGAGGAACGAGAAAAGACGAAUAAAACUGCCUGCAGAAAUGCCAGCCAAUCGAAUAAUAAUCGUCGAAAAUGCUAAAUCUACCCUGAAGUAUUGAAACCGGAAAUGGGAUAUUUUGGACCGCAUGGGAAUCGGAAUAUUUCGGCUUUUAACCAAACCGACAGACGAAGCAAGUUUCUAAUGGAAUAACAGACAAUUAUCUUUCCUGCUUACAUGUAAAUUGUGUGCCAAAGGCUUAGCGUAGGACCUUAAUGGAUGAAAGUAGACAUUUUAUUGCAAUAAUUGAGACAUUUUUCGCAAAAUUGUUUGUGAUUGUGCGAUAGGACGAUAUCUUAAAUUUUUGAUGGCAUUUUUGUAUUGUUAUGAUAAUAUGGUGCUAUAUGUUGUUAUGAAAUUGGAUUAAAAUUUUAUCAUAAAAUU